rnacentral:tRNA from 1 species
GCCUGGCGGGUUUAGUCGGUAAAGCAAGUGACUCUGGAUCUCGGGGUUUGAGUUCGAGCCUCACGCUGGGUG